UGGGGAAUCUUGGACAAUGGGGGCAACCCUGAUCCAGCCAUGCCGCGUGAGUGAUGAAGGCCUUAGGGUCGUAAAGCUCUUUCGCCUGUGAAGAUAAUGACGGUAGCAGGUAAAGAAACCCCGGCUAACUCCGUGCCAGCAGCCGCGGUAAUACGGAGGGGGUUAGCGUUGUUCGGAAUUACUGGGCGUAAAGCGCACGUAGGCGGACCAGAAAGUUGGGGGUGAAAUCCCGGGGGCUCAACCCCGGAACUGCCUCCAAAACUAUUGGUCUAGAGUUCGAGAGAGGUGAGUGGAAUUCCAAGUGUAGAGGUGAAAUUCGUAGAUAUUUGGAGGAACACCAGUGGCGAAGGCGGCUCACUGGCUCGAUACUGACGCUGAGGUGCGAAAAGUGUGGGGAGCAAAACAGGAUUAGAUACCCUGGUAGUCCACACCGUAAAACGAUGAAUGCCAGUCGUCGGGUAGCAUGCUAUUCGGUGACACACCUAACGGAUUAAGCAUUCCGCCUGGGGAGUACGUCGCAAGAUUAAAA
rnacentral:rRNA from 1 species